UACGUAGGGGGCAAGCGUUGUCCGGAUUCAUUGGGCGUAAAGAGCGUGUAGGCGGCCAGGUAGGUCCGUUGUGAAAACUCGAGGCUCAACCUCGAGACGUCGAUGGAAACCAUCUGGCUAGAGUCCGGAAGAGGAGAGUGGAAUUCCUGGUGUAGCGGUGAAAUGCGCAGAUAUCAGGAAGAACACCGGUGGCGAAGGCGGGACUCUGGGCCGAUACUGACGCUGAGGAGCGAAAGCGUGGGGAGCAAACAGG
rnacentral:rRNA from 1 species